GAUGAACGCUGGCGGCGUGCCUAAUACAUGCAAGUCGAGCGAACAGACGAGGAGCUUGCUCCUCUGACGUUAGCGGCGGACGGGUGAGUAACACGUGGAUAACCUACCUAUAAGACUGGGAUAACUUCGGGAAACCGGAGCUAAUACCGGAUAAUAUAUUGAACCGCAUGGUUCAAUAGAGAAAGACGGUUUUGCUGUCACUUAUAGAUGGAUCCGUGCCGCAUUAGCUAGUUGGUAAGGUAACGGCUUACCAAGGCAACGAUGCGUAGCCGACCUGAGAGGGUGAUCGGCCACACUGGAACUGAGACACGGUCCAGACUCCUACGGGAGGCAGCAGUAGGGAAUCUUACGCAAUGGGCGAAAGCCUGACGGAGCAACGCCGCGUGAGUGAUGAAGGUCUUCGGAUCGUAAAACUCUGUUAUUAGGGAAGAACAAAUGUGUAAGUAACUAUGCACGUCUUGACGGUACCUAAUCAGAAAGCCACGGCUAACUACGUG
rnacentral:rRNA from 1 species